AUACGUAGGGGGCGAGCGUUGUCCGGAAUGAUUGGGCGUAAAGGGCGCGUAGGCGGCGCGGUAAGUCUGGAGUGAAAGUCCUGCUUUCAAGGUGGGAAUUGCUUUGGAUACUGCCGCGCUUGAGUGCAGGAGAGGUUAUCGGAAUUCCCGGUGUAGCGGUGAAAUGCGUAGAGAUCGGGAGGAACACCAGUGGCGAAGGCGGGGAACUGGACUGCAACUGACGCUGAGGCGCGAAAGUGUGGGGAGCAAACAGGAUUAGAUACCCUGGUAGCCCACACUGUAAACGAUGAAAGCUAGGUGUAAGAGGUAUCGACCCCUUUUGUGCCGGAGUCAACACAAUAAGCAUUCCGCCUGGGGAGUACGGCCGCAAGGUUGAAACUCAAAGGAAUUGACGGG
rnacentral:rRNA from 1 species